CAUUAAGAAGCUAAACCGGGUCCAGCAUUAGCCUUUUAAGCUAAAAAUUGGUGACUCCCAACCACCCUUAGUGA
rnacentral:tRNA from 1 species